CCCGCUGAACUUAAGCAUAUCAAUAAGCGGAGGAAAAGAAACCAACAGGGAUUGCCCCAGUAGCGGCGAGCGAAGCGGCAAAAGCUCAGAUUUGAAAUCUGGCCGUCCUCGCGGCGGUCCGAGUUGUAAUCUGUAGGGGGGUAUUCUGGACGUCGUGCACUGCCUAAGUCCCCUGGAACGGGGCGCCAUGGAGGGUGAGAGCCCCGUAAGGCGGCGCGCGUCGGACUCUGUGAAGCCCCUCCGACGAGUCGAGUAGUUUGGGAAUGCUGCUCUAAACGGGAGGUAUAUUCCUUCUAAAGCUAAAUACCGGCCGGAGACCGAUAGCGCACAAGUAGAGUGAUCGAAAGGUGAAAAGAACUUUGAAAAGAGAGUGAAAAAGUACGUGAAAUUGUUGAAAGGGAAGGGCUUGAAAUCAGACUUGGUAUUCAAUGAUCAAUUUUCUUUCGGGGAGAUGCACUCGUUGUUUACUGGGCCAACAUCGAUUUAGACGGUGAGAUAAUGACAGUUGAAUGUGGCUUGCUUCGGUAAGUGUUAUAGCUUCUGUUGAUAUCAUCAGUUUGGAUCGAGGACUGCGCAUUUUUGCUAGGAUGUUGGCGUAAUGAUUUUAAGCCACCCGUCUUGAAACACGG
rnacentral:rRNA from 1 species